CCUACGGGUGGCAGCAGUGGGGAAUAUUGCACAAUGGGGGAAACCCUGAUGCAGCGACGCCGCGUGAGUGAAGAAGUAUUUCGGUACGUAAAGCUCUAUCAGCAGGGAAGAAAAUGACGGUACCUGACUAAGAAGCCCCUGAGAACUACGUGCCAGCAGCCGCGGUAAUACGUAGGGGGCAAGCGUUAUCCGGAGUUACUGGGUGGAAGGGGAGCGUAGACGGCAGCGCAAGUCUGGAGUGAAAUCCCAUGGCUUAACCAUGGAACUGCUUUGGAAACGGUGCAGCUGGAGUGCAGGAGAGGAAAGUGGAAUUCCGAGGGGAGGGGUGAAAGGCGUAGAUAUUAGGAGGAACAUCAGGGGCGAAGGCGGCUUACUGGACUAUAACUGACGCUGAGGCGCGAAAGCGUGGGGAGCAAACAGGAUUAGAUACCCUGGUAGUC
rnacentral:rRNA from 1 species